rnacentral:rRNA from 1 species
UACGAAGGGGGCUAGCGUUGCUCGGAAUCACUGGGCGUAAAGGGUGCGUAGGCGGGUCUUUAAGUCAGGGGUGAAAUCCUGGAGCUCAACUCCAGAACUGCCUUUGAUACUGAAGAUCUUGAGUUCGGGAGAGGUGAGUGGAACUGCGAGUGUAGAGGUGAAAUUCGUAGAUAUUCGCAAGAACACCAGUGGCGAAGGCGGCUCACUGGCCCGAUACUGACGCUGAGGCACGAAGCGUGGGGAGCA